CGCGCAGGCGGCUGGGCAAGUGGGUGGUGAAAUCCCCGGGCUCAACUCGGGGUUGGCCACCGAGACUGUCUAGCUGGAGUGUGGGAGAGGAGGGUGGAAUUCCUGGUGUAGCGGUGAAAUGCGUAGAGAUCAGGAGGAACACCGGUGGCGAAGGCGGCUCUCUGGACCACGACUGACGCUGAGGCGCGAAAGCUAGGGGAGCAAACAGGAUUAGAUACCCUGGUAGUCCUAGCCCUAAACGAUGGAUACUUGCUGUGGGGGGUAUUAAAUCCCCCUGUGGCGGAGCUAACGCGUUAAGUAUCCCGCCUGGGGAGUACGGUCGCAAGUCUGAA
rnacentral:rRNA from 1 species